AUUUAUGAGAGUUUGAUCCUGGCUCAGGAUGAACGCUGGCGGCGUGUUUAAGGCAUGCAAGUCGAACGAGUACCUUCGGGUACAAGUGGCAAACGGGAGAGUAACACAUUGGUAACCUACCUCGAAGUUCGGGACAACCCAUCGAAAGAUGGGCUAAUACCGGAUGUACUCUACAUAUACUUUAUGUAGUGUAAAGAUUUAUCGCUUCGAGAGGGGCCUAUGGUCUAUCAGCUUGUUGGUGGGGUAAAAGCCUACCAAGGCAACGACGGAUAGCGGGUGUGAGAGCAUGACCCGUCUCACUGGGACUGAGACACUGCCCAGACUCCUACGGGAGGCUGCAGUCAAGAAUCUUCCCCAAUGGCCGCAAGGCUGAGGGAGCGACGCCGCGUGUAGGAAGAAGUCUUUCGGGAUGUAAACUACUUUUCUGUGGGAAAAACUAAUGAUGGUACCACAGGAAUAAGGGGCUGCUAACUUCGUGCCAGCAGCAGCGGUAAUACGAGGGCCCCGAGCGUUAUCCGGAUUUAUUGGGCGUAAAGAGUUCAAAGGUGGUUUUUUAAGUCUUCGGUUAAAUACUGAUGCUCAACAUCAGAACCGCCGAGGAAACUAUUAAACUUGAGGGUAGGAGAGGUAGACGGAAUUGCCGGUGUAGUAGUAAAAUGCGUUAAUAUCGGCAAGAACACCAAAUGCGUAGGCAGUCUACUGGAAUAACCCUGACACUAUAUGAACGAAAGCGUGGGUAGCGAAACGGAUUAGAUACCCGUGUAGUCCACGCUGUAAACGAUGGAUACUAGGCAUUGGGAGUGUCGACCCUUCCAGUGUCGGUUUAAAAGCUAACGCAUUAAGUAUCCCGCCUGGGGAGUACGGCCGCAAGGCUAAAACUCAAAGGAAUUGACGGGAACCCGCACAAGCGGUGGAGCAUGUGGUUUAAUUCGACGAUAACCGAGGAACCUUACCAGGGUUUGAAAUCCUAGCUGCUCAGCCACAGAAACGUGGCUUCCUUCGAGGGUGCUAGGACAGGUGCUGCAUGGCUGUCGUCAGCUCGUUUCGUGAGAUCUCGGGUUAAGUCCUUUAACGAGCGCAACCCCCAUGAUAUGUUAAAUUGAUCAUAUCAAACUGCCUCGGAUAACGAGGAGGAAGGUGGGGAUGACGUCAAGUCAGCAUGGUCCUUUGAUACCCUGGGCUACACACGUGCUACAAUGGAUAGUACAAUGGGCUGCCAAACCGCAAGGUGGAGCUAAUCCCAUCAAAACUGUCCUCAGUUCGGAUUGAAGGCUGCAAUUCGCCUUCAUGAAGCUGGAAUCGCUAGUAAUCGCGCAUCAGAUAUGGCGCGGUGAAUACGUUCUCGGGUUUUGUACACACCGCCCGUCACGCCAAGAGAGUCGGUAAUACCCAAAGUCUCUACAUACCGUAGGGCCUAAGGUAGGACCGAUGAUAGGGGCGAAGUCGUAACAAGGCAUCGGUAGCGGAAGCUGUCGAUGGAUCACCUCCUUU
rnacentral:rRNA from 1 species